CCGGCACCGCACCCUGCGUCUGCCUGGGGAAGCUGCAGGCGAGGGCGGGCGAGGCCUGAGCAGGGAGAAGUCGAAAAGGGACCGGGAACAAAGGAGUGGAGAAACCCACAAAGAAUGAAUCAAUAAACAACUGGAGUUCCAGUGUCAGGCAUUGCUGUACAGUACCUCAAAGCCUGAGCUGGCAGCAGCAAGGAACUUCCACCUGCAGGACUUGUCUCACCUUCUAAUUCUGUUCUGACCUUUGGCUUGUCCAAACGUAGUACCUCUGGGGCAGGAGCUGACUUUUGCCUUGUGUUCAUCCCACACCCAUCAUGGCAAAGUGAUCCUGCUCCCCAGGCUUAAAUGAAAGGGCUUCUGAAUCAUUAACAUGUUUGAAUAAACUCAUGGGAACCUUCAAGCCUAACUGGGGUGAGAGGUGCCACAUUACCAAACAGCCUGCAGGCUAUGUGAUGGCUAGUUUAUUGGCACAAAAACACAGGGUGAGCUGGGCUGAUCUGAGCCAUAGUCCGCUACUGCAUAUCCAGCUAGGAGGUCUGUGGUGUUCUUUCAAAUUUUCUGUUUUGCAGGUUUGGCAGGGUUCAGCUUUUUUUGAUAAAGUUACAGCCUCAGUUGACAGACUAAAAUAGAAUAAAGUCAAAGCAGACCAAAAAUUAUAACUGGAAAUAAAUGUUGCAACUCUGAAAUAAA